CAGAAGUUUCUCUGAAGAAACUAGUCAGAUUCCCUUUGAAAAUAAGUGGCUUUGAGAAAAAUUUCCCUCACCACUCUAGGGAAUGUUUGUGGGGUUUUUUGUUUUUUGUUUUUUGUUUUUAAUUCCCUGGACACUGUCUUUCCUGUAUUAUUUUCAGUCUCAUCCUUCCAUCUACUAUUAGUGUCAGUAUGAUACUACCAGUAUUUUUGAGGGAAAAUAUGUAGGAUUCCUCCAUUCACAUUACAGCUAUAGGACACACACCUUAUCUUGCAUCUCCUUCUGAUUCACCUAAGUGCCAACUGAAUCAUUGGCCACAUAUUUACAACAUUUCCAAUUAUUGCAAUUUACAACUUGAACCCAAGAAUUACAGAUCUUAGAGCUGGGAAGACCGCAAGAGUUGGGGGCAUUUAGACACAGUGAGGACUUACGUAUCAUACUACAGAAGAGGCAGCCAGGAUUUUGAAAAGUUUAAAAAAAAAAAACUUGUCAAAGGCUAUCUUGCUAAUAAGUAGCAAAGUUGGUAAUAAAGAAGAACAUUUUACACGGGUUCCCCUCCAGCACAAUUCCUGUCACAUUAUGGGUGCACAAUAAUAUUUACUUAUUUCAUGAGUAAAAAAGUCAAUAAAUGAAUAAAUAAAUUACUAUCUCCAAACCCACUCGUCUUUGUUUUUGUUCCAAUCCUCUCUGAUCUCUACGGUUUUCAGUUCCAGAAUCUCCCCUUGGGUAGCACUACACGGCCUCCCUCCUCUACUUCUCUGCCUGUGUUUCUAGAUUUCCUCUUCUUCCUCUGUCCACCUAAAUACAGGUGUUUUCAAGCUGUUAUCUUAAUCCUGUUUCCUAAACCCAUGUUCUCAUUACUU
rnacentral:lncRNA from 1 species